CAGUCGCCGCGGUAGUACGGAGGGGGCUAGCGUUGUUCGGAAUUACUGGGCGUAAAGCGCACGUAGGCGGCUUUGUAAGUUAGAUGUGAAAUUCCCGGGCUUAACCUGGGGACUGCAUUUGAUACUGGCAGGCUUGAGUGUGGAAGAGGGUCGUGGAAUUCCCAGUGUAGAGGUGAAAUUCGUAGAUAUUGGGAAGAACACCGGUGGCGAAGGCGGCGACCUGGUCCAUAACUGACGCUGAGGCGCGAAAGCGUGGGGAGCAAACAGGAUUAGAUACCCCAGUAGUCCCUGUCUCUUAUAU
rnacentral:rRNA from 1 species